UACGUAGGCAGCGAGCGUUGUUCGGAGUUACUGGGCGUAAAGGGUGUGUAGGCGGUUGCUUAAGUUUGGUGUGAAAUCUCCCGGCUCAACUGGGAGGGUGCGCCGAAUACUGAGUGACUCGAGUGCGGGGAGAGGAGAGUGGAAUUCCCGGUGUAGCGGUGAAAUGCGUAGAGAUCGGGGAGGAAGGCCGGUGGCGAAGGCGGCGU
rnacentral:rRNA from 1 species